UACGUAGGUGGCGAGCGUUGUCCGGAUUUACUGGGCGUAAAGGGAGCGUAGGCGGACUUUUAAGUGAGAUGUGAAAUACCCGGGCUCAACUUGGGUGCUGCAUUUCAAACUGGAGGUCUAGAGUGCAGGAGAGGAGAAUGGAAUUCCUAGUGUAGCGGUGAAAUGCGUAGAGAUUAGGAAGAACACCAGUGGCGAAGGCGAUUCUCUGGACUGUAACUGACGCUGAGGCUCGAAAGCGUGGGGAGCAAACAGGAUUAGAUACCCU
rnacentral:rRNA from 1 species